AGAGGUUUCGGUGUUAUCGUAUCAAAUUUUUCUUACCAGAGUUUCACCUACAUUGACUACGAGCCUGCGUACCUUUAUUUGAACAUUGUCGCAAAAGAACUCCAUUGAAUAUAUACAACAGUCGAAUAAACGUAUGAAGAUGGUGCAUUGUGUUGAAAGGCGAUGUGAGUGGAUAACUUCUGUGUGCAACGAUCUUUUUUGCGCAAAGAACGGUGUCCCUAGGCAGUUGUCUAUGACAGAAGUUCCGCUUGCAAAAAGAAGUAGCCGCUGAUCGCUUCUGCUUAAGCUAAGGUUUAAGUGAAGAUGUAACCUCGACGGUAAAGGCGAUAACUUUGCAAUACGGCUCUACUCUAUUAAACAACAAUUUCAAACAGCCUGUGGAUAAAUUUGGUUCACGGAACAUAACUGUGUCUGUUACACGUUCAGCAAAACGUUGCACGAAACCUAUCGCUACAAGUAUCAUUUGAGGGGAACGAUUAUUAAGCGUUGGUCAAAAAUGAUUUGGCGCAGUAAAUUUCUGUUGUAGCUGUUGGCCUAUUCAAGGCCGGGAUCCUGGACACGCUUCAACAGAGGCACAUCAUUCGAGCGAAACGUGUUGAAUAUAUGGAUGUAUGGGCACACCUGAUCCGCCACCCCUCACAGAAGUGCCGAUCGUAUUUAUCAGAGCGGUAACUAUUCGGCCAGCUGUAUUUGCACAUACACUGUAUUUGUGAUGCACGAAGCUGGAAGCAACAAUUGAUAAUCCAUCAAAUAGAACUAAUUGCACGUUUUCUAUUCAUCGACGGAAAAAACAGAAACGCUCAUAAACGAAGAGCUUCAACGGGAGCUUAGCCAUGUCGCAUCUCAGCAUAAGCUCGGUUCGACAAACCGUAUACUUAUUCGUGUCUUCGAAGAAAGCGGACCAUUCUAAAUCUGCACGGGGGCUGGGGCUAUCUCGAAGAAAAAUAGAUGGAGAUCGAUCGAACGCAUGCCACUCUAAACACGUCUCUUCAACAGAUGUAUAAGGAACAGCAUCGCGUCCAGUGGUAGAACAUCUGACGUAAACGUUCUUUUAGAUGCGAGUCUUAUCGAGUAAGCUGCCUGAUUGCGCUCUAUGGUACUUAAUUGUAUGAAGUGGCGUAAUCGGAAAAAGUAUUGCGAUAGACGUCUAUCAAACAUCUCACCGGAUGGGAGCCGUUGAAGAUGUUUACGUGUAACUUAAUGUAACUCACAUGACAAAUGAUCAGAUGUCGCGGAUAGUUAAAGGAGACGAUGACUAUUAUUUUAGAUUGUUUUAAGUACAAGUCAUUUUGCCAAAGGUAAGUUAACAGGUUUAUUUCAAAAGCCGCGAGUUUAGCGGCGAAUCGAGACUGUUCCCAGCCGCAACCAUCCUCACAUGGCCCGCACCUAGAGGAUCGUCCAACACAACUUGCAACAACUGCAAAGCAUUUCUCUUCCCUUGUAGAAAAGUAGGCUAGGCUUAAGCUUUAAAUUUAAAAAUUCGAGGCAGAGCUUCAGAAUAUAGCAAGUCUAAAAAAGGUCGCAUUUUUCGAAUUAACGUUAGGACUCAGGCCCUUGGCGAAGACGUUAUUCCAGCAUUGAAAGUGCUGCUAUUAAACGUACGCUUGCACUUAUGAUACCCUUAACGUUUAUGUACGGUAUUUGUCGCGCUUAUUGUUACAUUAGUUCGCCAAUCUGUAACCUGCAGCCUGUGAAAUCACAAAAAGCUGAUAAGCACCUUUGCUUACCAUUCUUGAUGGAAUUCGAUGUCGUUUUUUUUUAUUAUUUCUAUCUCGUAUUAAGCAGUCUUUACAUUUGCACGUCCACACAAAAGUAAUGAUUAAAUAGAUAAGAAAAGCCCUUCUUCUUGAACAGUAAUAUCCUACUAACAGUAAUAUCUUGCUCCUAUAUCGGCAUCUGACAGACUUACUUCCGAAGAAACUUCCUUUGUUAGCAUGAAAACCUGUUUGUGAUCGAAUGUCGUCUUAACAAACUUCUGCUGUUCAUUCGAGUUGUUUGUGUCCAGUUUUUGGGGGAACGAAUGACAGCCUUUGUAGUUGACCCAGAUGUUGAACAAAGUAGCUUUAGAAGAUCCUAGUUUUGUUCAAACGCGAAAAACGCUAGUAGAUAGAAGUCUGCAUCAUAAGCAUAGCGAAAUCAAUAUUUGUAUAUACAUGUGAUAAUGGCAGAGUCCAAGCGAUCUAGUCAAGCGUUUUCCAGGACAACCACGCUCGAUCAUGUUGUCACGCGCAAUGAACGUCGCCUCUUCUCUUCAGCCUCACCCGUCGUCACUCUGGUCCAUGGUUACGUCCAUGACCAUUUCGCAUGGCCAAGUUUAGCCAGAGACCAGUUGAGACGUGCGCAGUCUGUUGGAUUGCCUGUCUAAUAUUCUUUGGCGCAGUUAUGGAGAUGUGCUGCCUAAACUAGCCAUUACGUGACGGUUGCCAUAAUAGAAGCGUAUCUUUUCCCCCACAGAAAGACGAAUUUCGGCAGUAGGCCCCAUCCCUGCUCGCCUUGUUGAAGCGUUCGUUUUUCAUCAGGACUAAGUUUCAGCAUAGUGACAAGCACCGG